AGUGGAAUUGCUGGGCUAUAUGGUAACCAUAUAUUUAAUAACAUGAGGAACCGCCACCCUGGUUUUCCAAAGUAUCUACCAUUUUACAUUCCUACCAGCUGU
rnacentral:pre_miRNA from 1 species